rfam:Gossypium raimondii Chr04_contig_886, whole genome shotgun sequence.
UAUGAAAAAUUUUAUCUAUUUCUAUUGUUAAAAAUUUACGUGGUUGACAGAAUAACUAAAUAGUUAUUGAUGGUGUGCCAAAUAUACCGCAUUUUAACGUACAGACUACAGAGUCUUAUUUUUAAGAAUAAAAAUAGAUGAAAAUUUUAAUA